rnacentral:pre_miRNA from 1 species
AAAAUGGAAAGGUGCGACCGGGCGAAUGUCUUCAACGGCCGUCCAAAGUAUUAAAUUUUUGGAAACUGACUGGUCGGUGGGACUUUCGUCCGUUUGAACCACCAUGGUGCACCGG